rnacentral:rRNA from 1 species
AGCGGCGGACGGGUGAGUAAUGCCUAGGAAUCUGCCUGGUAGUGGGGGAUAACGUUCGGAAACGGACGCUAAUACCGCAUACGUCCUACGGGAGAAAGCAGGGGACCUUCGGGCCUUGCGCUAUCAGAUGAGCCUAGGUCGGAUUAGCUAGUUGGUGGGGUAAUGGCUCACCAAGGCGACGAUCCGUAACUGGUCUGAGAGGAUGAUCAGUCACACUGGAACUGAGACACGGUCCAGACUCCUACGGGAGGCAGCAGUGGGGAAUAUUGGACAAUGGGCGAAAGCCUGAUCCAGCCAUGCCGCGUGUGUGAAGAAGGUCUUCGGAUUGUAAAGCACUUUAAGUUGGGAGGAAGGGCAGUUACCUAAUACGUAUUUGUCUUGACGUUACCGACAGAAUAAGCACCGGCUAACUCUGUGCCAGCAGCCGCGGCAAUACAGAGGGUGCAAGCGUUAAUCGGAAUUACUGGGCGUAAAGCGCGCGUAGGUGGUUUGUUAAGUUGGAUGUGAAAUCCCCGGGCUCAACCUGGGAACUGCAUUCAAAACUGACAAGCUAGAGUAUGGUAGAGGGUGGUGGAAUUUCCUGUGUAGCGGUGAAAUGCGUAGAUAUAGGAAGGAACACCAGUGGCGAAGGCGACCACCUGGACUGAUACUGACACUGAGGUGCGAAAGCGU